CGCAUGGCCGCGGAGUCUGGAGGGCUUCCGGUGCCGCCGCCACCCUCGCGGCCGCGGCGCUCGUUCGGUGGCUCUGAGCGUGCGAGACUUCUUCAACCGUAAAUCUCGGUACACGAGGGGAUUACUGAAUUACGAGUAGUAGCAAUUUAGCAGCAGUAGGUUGACGAGUGGAUUUGUGAUUUCUUACUGCUAGUUUCGGUUGAUGCAUGUGUAAGUAUUACGAGUUCGCACGGUGAAUUUUUUUUAACGAUCUCACACGGUAUUCUGAGUAGUACUAGAAUUUGGUAGUAGUAGUUCUUGUUCAUAUGAUGUGAUUUUUGUUUGGUUGUGUGAUGCUGAUGCAGUUGAAGAAGAUGAGUAGUCAUUAUCCGGCAAUAGUAAAACUUUACUCAUAAUUGUACCUUUUACUUGUCUUUUCGUUCGAUUUUCUUUCCGGCCACGGCGAGGAUGUCUGGUGGUGGUAUGCUAUCACGCCAUCAGCCAUCAGGAUUCUUUCAUGUGCUAUAUCUGUAUGCAGUAUGCCUGUAGAUGAUGCCUUCGUGCGCUUACGGCUUACCCCCUCAGUAUCGGAGAAAUUCAACCAGGUCUGUUUCAGUUUGCGCCUUUUUGUGCGCGUGUGCAGAGUUCUCGUUGCGCCGUUGCGCAAGUAUUGACAAGAAAAUGCAUUCAAUACGAUCAAAGAGGCAAAGAAUGAGAUGCCUUUUGCAACAACUCAAACAAUUUGGAAACGAGAAAAGUAUUCUUCGUCCUCUAACUUACUAAAUAAAUACAUAUAAUGAAAAAAAAUGCACGUCUUCCAGCUGUAGAAAUCCGACACCGAUGGUUCAUCAUCCUCGGCAGAGCGGUCUGCGGCACUACUGCUAAUGUGACACUUUUUUGGUCUAGAAAUUGCAAUGUCGCCCGUCAAGCUGGCAUGCAGUUGACUAAUCAGUUAGAGUCACACAUUCUAACUUCUACGACUAAGCUCACUUCCUCAGUUCCUCUGUCCCUCUCGACCCAAAACAUAGUAGCUACUCCAAGAGAGCAAGAGACCCCUUCUGUCCCAACUUGAGCUGUUGGCUGCAACGCCGGCAACUUAGCUGCGGGCACAACAACGAUGACUCAGCAAUGGUUGCAACGACUGGGUCGUUGUUGUGACUCAAUGUGAGCGCAACAACUACGACAACCUUGGUGAUGACCGUCAGAGUUUGAGAUCGAUCAGCGAAUACUUGAUUCAAAAUUGUGUCGUCGAUCUGCAUGGCCACGACACUCAGCGCCGUUGUUAGCAUGUCGCGAACCAUUAGUCCCUUUUUUUUUGUCUCUCUGUUUCCAAAAACAGAAGCCGAAUCCUUCUCAACGUCGGCUAGUGCCCCAAUUCCGAGAUCGAACAGGUAUCCGGUUCCGACCUCCGAUCAAAGCAAUCCCAGUCGUUCAUCGAACACCAGAGCGUUCUCCCGGCCGCCGCACCCGCCAUCAUAUAUGCCCGCUGAACCAAUCUCAUCGAUCACAACAGCAACAGAUCCACAUCGCUUUCGCAAGGCGGUUUGCCCUCGCGCUUCUUCUGCUCCUCUUCGCGCUCGCGGCCGUCUUCAACGUUAACGCGGCCCGAUCCCUUCCGGGCCAGCAGCCAUCUGAGGCCGUGUCGACGGCGGGCCAGGGGCCGGCCCAGCUCCGCCAGCCCGCCAUGCUCCCGGAGGUUGAGCCGGUGCCUGCGUCUGCAUCGCCCCUUGUUCAGUUCGGCGAUAGCAUGACCGUUUACCAGGAGAUUCUCGAACAUUGCGGCGUGAAUCAGAAAUCCAACACGUUACCUAGUUUUGACGACGGACCGGCAAUCUGCAACAUGCGAUCGAAAAGGCCAGUGCGCACAGACUUGGUGUGAAUCUCGGCGGCGGAUCAGAGAAGGACGGGCCCCUGCUCAUCUGAUGUGUAAAGCUGCUAGUACAUCGCUCCAAGGCUUCGGCAAUACUAAUAGAACCCCGUUUUUUUUUGCAAGACAAUAGACUAGUAGUACAACCUUGUUUUCUGUAACGUGUGUAAAGAGCCUACAGGCUAGGGUCGGCUGAUAAUCAAAAGGGACAUUUUUAACGCUAUAUACAAGAAAAGAAAUCUGAUUCUGUAAAACAGCAAACAAAUAUAAAACUGAAAUUUGAACUUUAAAAAAGAAGAAGAGUCGUUUCCUUGUAAAGAAAUACAAACAAACCAGCCUAAAAAGAAUCCAUACAGAAGGCCUGCUAGGAAAAAGCCCCCCUAAAAAUCGAGAAAUAUAAGAAGGCCCACAUCAGCACAUAACCAAAACAAACAAAAUAAGGCCCAGAGAGGCCCAUUCAGUUUCACACAACACAAACAGCCUUCUUCUUUUUUGCGAGAAAAACACAAACAACCGUAUAGGAGUAAUUGAUGUAAAUCGGUUGAUCUUCCCACGAGUGAAACCCUAGCCGUCAGAGAAAAAAAACCCCGUUUCCAUCUUUGUUGGUUCCCCUUGCCUCUGAUAACCCAUCAGGAGGUGAGGGGAACCACGGAUCAACAUCUGGAAUCGUUUUUAGUACCUUCUUUGUAAGGUUUUCCGUGUCCUUGGUGGCGGCGUUCCAACAGUGGAGGCGGCGACGUGUGGAUUAUUGGUCUCCCAGCUCCAUCGAUCCCCGUUCUGGCAUGGCUAUCAUGGUCUACUCCAUGUAGUAUUGGGACUCACGGCUCGUAAUUUCAUGAUUUUGGUCAUCUUCCUUAACGUUUCAGCGAUGAUUCAAUGGUUCGACAACCUGUCUUGUGAGGGGCGUGUCUCCGGCCACCACGGUUCAACGAUAUUAAGUUGAUAAGUUCUCACCUGUUAGGAUGGGCGGCUCAUGCGGCUCAGUAAAACCUAUAAGGUUAGUCCAGAUUAUGUAGGUUUGGUCUUGUACUGUUUCGUCACCAUAGAUUUGGAAAAACAUCAAGAUGCGAUUGACGCAACUAGAGAAGUUGGGUUCAAAGAUUUUUGAUGUAAAGUUGUAAACCGAAAUCUUUGUUGUCGUUUUAGUUUUUCAAUCAAUUAUACUACGUUCGUUGAAUAAAUAAAGUCAGAUCGUUGUUCUAAAAAGAGAGUAAUGGAUGUCGAAUAAAUUAUAGAUAAUUAUAAAACUAAACGAAGAUAAUAUUUUCAAAAAAGAAGAAGAAGAAGAUAAGAUUUUAAAAAAAUAUCGGUUUCUUGGCUCCUGCCUUCCCAGAAGCGGCAAACAGACACCGACCGAUCGAGUCCCCAACCACACCCUCCACAUAUACUCCCUUCAUCCAACAAUAUGGGACGUAUUAGCUUUUCUUUAACCAAUGCUUUGACCACAAAUUAUUCUAUUAAUAUAUAAUUAUACCACAUAUAUUCAUAUCCAUUAUGUACCUACUCAAGAAUAUUUGCUUAUGGUUAUGAUUCUGAUCACAUUAGUCACACAUUCAUGAAAUAAUUUGUGAUCAAAUGCUUGGUUAACCCAAUCAUAAUAUACCUCCUGUGGCUGGACGGAGGUAGUAACACGCAACAAGCAGCCCCAAGAACCGGAAGGCGAUCGAGCUUGCGCGCGCAAGAGGUUUCCAAAUCCCAUCUGACCAGAACAACGACGCCAACGACAACGACCAUGAAAGGAGGAACAAAACUGAUAUGUGGGCUGCUGCUGGUGCUGCUCUGCGUGUCCGCCCGCCUCAAGGGUGGCUCCUGCGCCGGCGGUUUCGGCGUCGGAGGGGGCUUUGGCAUUGGUUUUGGUGCAGGGUACGGCCGGCCGGCUCCGGUCAUGGAGCCGGAGCCUGCCGGCGGGCCCGGGGCGGCCGCCGUCGUGGGCGGAGGCGCUACCGACGGCGGCACUACUGCGGUGGCUGCCGCGGGUGACGCUCGUGUCCGCGGUGGCGUCUAGAGAGCGUCCGGUGGCGCCGCUGCCCUUGCAGUCGCCGCGCUUGUCUGGCGCUAGCUGAUGGUGUGCGUGCGUGCGCCAAGCCAAGAUCGAUCUAUGUUCUACGGUAGACCAGUGAAUUUAGGAGUAGUUUUGUGGAUCGGUGGCUGCAUGUGUAAAUAUUACUCGAUCUUAGUCUAGAGCGGAGUUUUGAUCAGGAAUUCAGGUGCAGGGGUGGGCAUGAAAACUGAGAAACUGAAACGGAAACGGAAGCCGAUUGGACCGAAAUCGAAGAACCGUUUAAAACUUCGGUCAGCAAAAUCAAAGAACCGAAGUUUGUUCGGUUAAUUGGGUCUCUUGCCUCGGUUAAACAAAAAAACCCGAAGAACCGAAAUUCAUUGCUGCAUCUUUAAAAUUUAAUGUUGUCAUUGCAUGUUAGAUGAUAUUUACUGGCUGCUGCCAUUGCGUGUGUCUGUGUCACACAAGAUUAUGUGUUUAUUUUUGCGUGUAAUUUAAAUCUAUUUUCUGUUCUAAGUGGAAGAUUGAACUAAAUUUGUUUUCAUUUUUUGUUUGCCGUAAACACAAUGUUCGGUUAGUUCGGUUCCGAAUCGAAUUUUCUGUGAACCGAACUUUCGGUUAUCAAAAUUUUCAAGAUGACUUCGGUCCUCAUAUCAGAAGAACCGAAUUUCAUGAAAACCCGAAGAACCGAACCGAAAUUUCGGUUAUAACCGAACGCCCACCCCGAUUCAGGAGUAGUCUGUCCCAGCCUUUUGAUUUCUUUUAGAAAAGUCUGGCUUCAUUGAUUUUUGUUCUUCGACAACAUUUGGUACUGAGGUCUGGAUUACGAUAAUCCAGCUUUACCAACCAAUUUCUUUUUGGCUAUUUUCUAUUUGUCUGAUCAAUUCUUUCAUGUUUUUAUUUGCAUUUUUCACAGCAAGUUAUAAUUCAGCACAACACAAUUUAGCAAAGUCAAACUAAUGCUUAAUCAAGAAACAUAGCAUAGGAAAACUGAAACAAAAAACAAGAAACUAAUUGCUAGAUCUCUCUCCAUGUCACUUGUGAUGAAACUAUAAACGACCAGACCUGGACAAGUAAACUAACUUCGUAAGUUUCUAAUAACCACAUAAGAGCAACUCUAGCAGAUACCCAUAUGGCCGAUCCGAACUCCAUAUUAGGUUUUGGGCCAAAAAUCAGCACGGAACAGAUCCUCGAAAAAGGCCCGGACCGCAAAACGUGUUUCGGUUUACCCCAAAAACCAGCCCAGGGGCCGCCUAUAUGCCUACUCGAGAGGCGUACUCGAUGUCCACACCCCACUCUCUCGCCGCCCAAAUUCGCCACCAAACCCUACCCCGCCGCCAAAUCCGCUGCCCUUUCUCCUUCUUCUCCAACUCCAGCAACCUAGAUCCCGUCCCUUCCACCGCAAUGGUUAUAGAUAGCCAACUGGCCGGCCUGGCUCCGACCCAGUAUAUGCUAAACGUGAUUGGCCCGGGCACGGCCCGAUGAAGCCCUGGAAUAGAGAGGGGCCAGCCCGGCCCCUUAAUACGUCCUUCUGGCCCAGGCGCGGCACAAAGCUCCGUCGGGCCGGGCCGGGCCCGUUAAGGCCUGGCAGGGCCUGAGGAAGCCCAUCUCUGCAUAAGGCCCAUCUAAGAAAAUAAAUAAAUAAAGGGCUAGAAUGGGCCAAAAUUGUUGGGCUGGACCGGAAUUUUGAGGAUACAUGGGCCAAAUGUAGGAAAACUAUAAAAAAAAACAGGUCGUGAGGAUGAAGCCCAGGCUCGGCACAGGCGGGGCCUCAGGCCGGCCCGACCCAAUUAGUUUUGUGCCGGGCUUGGCACAAUCGGACCAAGCCCGCCAGGCUUUCGAGCUUUGCCAAAAGGCCCAUCCCGUUGGCCAUCUAUAGCAAUGAUGCACCCCAUAGCAUCCCGGGGGUCCGCUGGUCACCGUACCGCUUCUCCGCGCGGGCAGGAAAACCCUAGCGGCUGCUGCGGCGGAGGGGACGACUAUGAGGCGGUGCACCAUCGUUCCAUCAGGGUAGGGCGGCAUGCCGCCUGCAAAUGGGAUAAGCACCGCUUUACGAACCGUGAUGCUGAGCGCCGGUACUAGCAAUAUCUGGCGGAGGAAGCUGCGCGGGCGGCGGGGACUUGGGCCGGCCCCCGUGGCGGGGGCACGCCGCGUCAGGGGGAGGCCGAGUCCUCUCGUGCGGCCGUGCACCACCGCGCAUUUUCGCCCACUCGUCAAAGACGAGGAGGAUCUUCUCGUGCAAAGCUUUUUAAAAAAAAUUCAGUUCUUAGUUCGGUUUCUGUUCUGCACGACGUAUUUCUGAACUGCAUUUUCGGAUUCAGUUGAUCCGAACUCCCCUAGUUCGGAUCGGCCACAUGGGGUAUGUGUUAGAGUUGCUCUAAGUCGCUUGCCCCAAAAGAUGAGAACCUAUGAUCGUUGAACUUGCUGGAGACACACCGUUUGCAAGACAAGUUUGUAGAUUGUUGUUUCGUAGCCGAACCGACAAGGAAGAUAACCAAAAUAACGAAAGUAAAAAAACCUGGGGAUCCAACGUAUUGACUAGCCAGCAUGCCGAUAGAGCCAUGGGACCAUUAUUUCAUAUACCAUUGCCUCCACCACUAGGACGCUAUCGCGAGGACACAAUACCUCAUAAAAAAAUUAAACAGAUUAUUUGUCACACCUUGAUCCCUGGUUACUCUCAUUUUCCGAUUUCUAAUCGAUGGUUGACCACAAGGGAAGCCGACAAAAACCACAACUUCAACGAGGUUCUUUCCGGUGGCUAGGGUACGUUCCUCACGCCAUAAUCUCACAGCAAAGACUUGCUACGUGGCCUACGUAAUAUGUCUAAUGAAUCACUAAAAUUGAAUGGCUUGCUAAAAUCCUAGAUGAAACAUGAUAGCUAGUCUUUCAGCUAUUUUUCUUAAGAAAUGUCUAUUUCUCAGUCGCCUAAAAAUAGUUAUUUCCCGAUCAACAAUCAUGGCCAUUCAAUUAAUAUUUUCUUAUUAUUGGACCUACAUUAAUCUUACACGAAUCACACUGACUGAAUCAAAAUGUUGUUAUCAUCGACUAAGAAAUACUCCCUCCGUUACAUGAUUCUUGUCUCAAAUUUGCAAAAAAUAGAUGUAUCUAUUUUAAAAAAACGUCUAUAUACAUGUAAUAUUUCAACAACAAUUAUGAAACGGAAGGAGUAGUUAUUUCUCAGUCGCCUAAGAAAUAGAAAAACCGUUUUUCUUACUUCCAUUAGUAUUUGAAAUGGAAAGAUGGUUUCAAGCCGAUCAAUUUCUUUGAUCUUCUGUCCAGGUAGAGAUUUUUCAACGAAAAUUUACUUCAGAACGAUAAGCCUGACGCACGGAUACGUGUUCAAACUUUCUUUGGCGUAGAAUAUGCGAAGUUUGAACAAUUUGACUUCUCCGCACCGACAUAUCCGUGGCAGCAGAUCAGUUAUUGCCAACCACGAUCAGGCUAGCUCCCAACGUGCCGGCCGGAGACCCCGGAGCAAGUUACAGGCUUGCCGCUUGCCGUUGCAGAGCAGCCCCAAGCCCCCAACGACCCUCAAACCGCCUCCGCAUUGGGGCUAUCCAUCUGACCUGCGCCGCGAGGACGACGAAGGCGACCCAGGCAGGGAGACGACCAUGAGAGCAUCUUCAACUACGUACAGUAGACAUGCAUUCAGUAAUUUCAAGAAGGACCAUAUAUACUAUAGUACUCAUGAAUUAUUGUCAAGUAGAAAAAGAGAGAAAGUAGAAAAAAUGGUUUGCUUAUGGCAUGGCAUACAUCAGACCUGGAUUUGAGCCAACAUAAUCGAUUCUUGGAUGGUCGUUUCCAUAUACUCUGUUUAAUACUCCUGAACAUGGGGCUUGUAUUCUGCAGUUCACCUGCAAAUAAGGGUAUCCCAUACGUCCAGAACAAAAAGUGAUGCUAAGACUGAAAAAACACUUGUCAUAAUGGCUUCCAAAAUAUGACUCAUUCGGUCUUUACACAGGUUGUAGAAUUGAUUUACUUCUCUUCAAUUGUUGGCACUAGCAUUGACAGACUAUGCCUCUCCAAACACAGACAUAAUCCUUGUGAAGCCCAGUACGAACGCUAAGUAUUGAUAAAUCAAGAGGUGAUACAUAAUUAUGAGCAUGUACAAUACAACACCAUUAGCCAGACAAACAAUUGUAAAAAUUAAUCAAAAUUGGACAAAGAGAUUAUGCAUUCUUGUAGAUCCAUCAAACAAGCCCCAGCCUAAAGCAUUCACAUCCAGCACUAGAGGCACGGAAGCAACAUCAUAAUUCCUACGUCCCCUGCACUAUCUAAUUGACAGAUUGCAGUACCAAAUCAGAUAGAAUUUUGUACCGUUAGAAAUGCGCAUACCCGGCGCUCGGCGGGCAUAGAAAGCGGCUGGGAGCCGGAGGCACAGCUAGACGCCUCGGAGGAGCUGGAGGCGGAGGCGCAGCAAGCUUGCGAGCUGCACACCUCGGGCAAGCUGGCGAGCUGCGUCUGGGCUGGGGUGAAGGCGAAGCUUGUCGACGAGCUACACAUCUUGGGCGAGCUGGUGGCGGAAGCGCGGCAAGCCGGUGAGCUGAGUCCUAGUUGGGGGCGGAGGCGCAGCUUGUUGAAGAGCUGCACGUCUUGGGCGAGCUGGGGGCGGAGGCGCGGCAAGCCGGCGAGCUGAGUCCUAGUUGGGGGCGGAGGCGCAGCAAACCGGCGACUUCGAAGUGACUGAGUGAGUACUACAAAAAUGCUCGCACGAAUUAAACACCUGUUUAGGCUUCUCAGCAUUGAAGUAAAUUUAUUUUAGAUAGGUGCUUAGUGAUAUGGCAAGAUUCUCUCUCUUUAAGCACCUGUAUACGAGCACCUUGCAUUGCAUUGUAGAUGCUCCGAGAGAUGGGACGAAUUUCCUCGGCGCGCUGCUGCUGUUGAUUCUGCUUUGCGUGCCGCGCGCUUCCAAGGCGCCUGCUCCGCCCGAGGUGGAGGCGGAGGCGGGGGAAGGGGAGGAGGAGGGGGCGCGUUUUCCGGUGGAGGUGGGCGAGGGGGAGGCGACGCCAUUGCCGGCGGAGGGGGCGGCAGAGCUCGGAAGGGAGCCGGCGGUGCCAGUGCCGGUGGAGGGGGCGCGGGCGGCGGGAGGAGCACCGGCGGGUCGGGGAGCCAAGCGAAAGGAUCCACCGCCGGCGGGGCCGCCAUCGUGGGUGGCAACACUGCCGGCCUGCCGGGGGAUCACAAGGAGGACACUACGGCGCGGGAUCGCAACGAAGCAGCGGCGCCGCCUUGGGUGGCCCUCCGCAUGGCCGUAGCGUCUGGAUGGUAUCCGAAGGCGCCGUCGCUGCUCUUGCGGCCGCCGCGCUCGUGUGGCGCUGAUCGUCGAGUAGCCUGCGAAUCUGCGAUGCAUCAAGAAUUCAAGAGUCGAGAGUCGAGACUACUCUAAAAACCCUUCAUUUUCUGUUUAUCGACGUAUAUGAUGCGUAAGCACGUUCAACAUAAAAAUCAAUCGAGCCAUUGGUUGUACACCAUUGCUUCUUCCUGUUUGUAAUUAGUGUUCUUGUUAUUCUUUUUGGUGUAAGCCCUCGUCUGUUUUUAACGAAUGACGCGUAAGCAUGCAUGUUUCACAUAAAAACUUACCGUUUGUAAUUACUAGAAACUUACUGUUUGUAAUUAGUGUUCUUGUUAUUCUUUUUGGUGUAUAGGUAGUGCUCCUGCGAACACUGCUCGGAGUGUGACGUACCGGCUGGAGCAACUGCAGCCAUUGUGUUUUUUAGGUGAACAGAGCCAUUGUGUGUCUCUCGAUUGACUCGAUGGUUUCCGUGUACUUCACCUUCUGUCCAGGUUAACACAUCGGAUGACUGAGGAUGCGCGAUGGUACUCCCUCCGUUCAUAAAUAACUUGUUGCUGCGAACUGACCGGUGUUAUGUUUUCUUGUGGUGGAACCAGUCCACUCAGGUUCAAGUCACAUGGGUGUUCGCAUUUCCCUAGAUUUAUUUCAGAACCUAACCGGUGUUGUGUUUUCAGUGGGAGUGACGUACGGCACAUCAGUCUCUCGGAGGGUGCUCAUAGGGGUAGGGUGUGUGAGCGUCUGCGUCCAGUGGGAGUGACGUACGGCACAUCAGUCUCUCGGAGGGUGCUCAUAGGGGUAGGGUGUGUGAGCGUCUGCGUCUGUACUGUGUUUUCUAAAAAAAAAAAACUUAUUGCUGUUUUAUUUCAAGUUUGCACUAAAACAGCGACAAGUAUUUAGGAACGGAGUGAUUACUAUAUAAUGAUGUCUGCACACUGCACUUGCAUUCUGUAAUGCUACCUGUUUGCUAAACCCGACAGAGAUUGUGGAGGCUAGCAAUCAAGAUGUAUAAGUUGGGUGUAGCACUUGUCCCGUUCUCCGUGGUUUACACCCCAGAUGCAAUUGUUCCUCUCUUCAUGUCCCUUCCUCGCAUAAUUAGUGAUCCCAACAACGUUCCAUGUGUCGUAUUGUCUGGUGGAGCAAGGGAAACAAAUGCAUAUGUAACUAAUCAAAAGAUUACACUGACAGCUUGUUUGGCAACCAAGAAUUCAUUUCAUUUGAUCAAAAUGAAAUGAAAUCUAAUUUUUGAUAGGGUUUCAUUUGGUUGAAUUUGAAUUCUGGGUUGAAAAAUCAUGUUUGUCUACCACAUGAAAUUAAAGAGUGAGAGACAAUUCUAGAGAAAUGAUGGCUUUUAGAAAAGAAUUAAGGCUAGUUACACUGUGAUUAUAUGAAAUUUGAGAUUGAAUUUCUGUAACUAAUUCCGUGCCAACCAAACAAGUUGUUUUUAAAAUUUAAAAUGAAUUCUACAAUUUUAUGACUAAAUGAUGUGCGUCAAACAAGCUGUGAAAGAGUUUGCUAUAGAUUAAUGGAGACCCAAACUUUCUUAUAGCGAUUAAUGCAUGGCUGCUCCUGCUGCCAUAUCCAUGGGCGCCAUAGUCGUAGCAACUUCCACAGGAUCCGGCGCUCCUGCCUUCUGACCACUGGGACCACAUGAUAGGUUGGAUCUGCUGUAGCUAUCCACUUUUCAGGGGUCUGGCCUCUCUCCCGAUGGCAACUGUUCGAGGUAAUCUUAUUACUCUUAGAAUUAGAGACAGUAGAGUAGUUCAGUCCGGCAUGAACCAUUGUCCGUACUACUCCGGUUGAGUCAGUGAUGAAGCAUUGUCUAAAAAAUAUUAUCACCAGAAAAGGGCUAUCUCAAAACAAGGAACAGUUUUGUUUUGUGGGUACAGCUAGCCGACUCGCCAGGCGGAUAACAAUGAAGGGUAGCCAGCGGAUCCUUCCUUUAGUCAGGAAGAAACGAAGGACGACCAUCCAUCGACCAAUAGAGGCAAGGCACGUACAUGCAUCCAUGUGUACGGAAGAAGUGAUAACCUGAAGCACAUCGCUGACGAAGCUUAUAAUAAUCUUGCUUGCUUGCGCACCUAAACACAUACCAGCUGGGUAUAGUAGCUGGCAUAUUCUCAUACAGUAUUAUGCACGGAUCACUGACGACGUUUCCAUCGUUGAACUGGUAACCAUUUCUCAUUACUUGCACGCAAUCCAGGAAUGCAGGAUAUACUGAAUAUAGUCUGCAGCUACAGCCUACAGGAGACUAUCACAAAGUUCUAAAUUAGGCGACUUAAUUAGUGGAAACAACUCUUGGAUGGAAUCCACAUUGUUGUCGCUACUAGUGCAGGGGUUAACUGGCUAAGGUUGUUUGUUUCAGUAGCGUGUAAGUAAGGGACAUGGAGGCAGCUAUAUACCUUUUUAAAAGGGCAUGCAGCUAUAUUCUAGGUCCACGUUGUUGUUCUUUGACAGGACUAGCUCCACGUUGUUGAGAACCUGAAUCCUCGUUGCCUCCCUUGCUUUUGUUUUCCUCAUUUUUACUAAUUAUUCGGCUUGUACAGCCUGGCAUGUACAAAGGUACAGACAUCCAGCCAUCUAUAGUGUUUUACAUGAUUUACAGACAAUUUUACAGAUAUCAUAUACAGUAGUCUGUCUAUACGCUGUCUAAAAAGUCUGUACUAAAAAUUAUAGGCAACAGACAUACAAUGAUAAAUAAUCUGUUUAUAAAUUGUCAAUUAGAUUAUCUGUACAACUAAAGACAGACUGCUAUAUUUUCUCAAUCUCUUUCCUCCACCUCAGCAAAAGUACCUCUUAUAGACACCUAAAUCAGCCCCAUUGUACAUGCCCUAUCAAAUAGCUUUUCCUUUCCUUUCUCCUACAUGCCUAUUUUCCAUACUCUUUUUGAAGCAUGUAACAUUUUAAUGAAAAUGCAGAGCACUUGCUUGUCCGUUGAUGAGGGGCUACCUCGGCAAUACCCUGACUCAAGGGUUUUCGACUGAGGGAGAGCACGGGGUGCACCAGCGAUCUCGUCGACUAACAAAGACUAGGGGAGUCGCAAGGUUUACCCAGGUUCGGGGUCCUCGGAAGGUAAUACCCCUACGUCCUGCUUUUGGUGUAUUGUAUUGAUCGAGAUUACAGAGAAGCUAUGAAGCUAUGGUGCGCAGAUGAAUCUGGCGUUUGUCUAGAGGUUGGCCAUUCCCGAUCCCCCCUCCUAGCCUUAUAUACUGGCGGCUAGGUCUCGGGCGUGAUAAUCGGGAAUGUUACAAUCAGAUCAAUUCAUUACGGUAUGAUAAGAUUAUGUUUCUUGGCUUGAACCGCACUUUGAGGGACUCGACCUGCAUAUGCUUGAUGGGCCUUCGAGUGGGCCCCCUGUUGGGCUGCAUCGGGUAUAUGAAGGUUGAGAACUCGAGUCCCUGUUCGAGGCGUAGACUCGAGUAGGGACUCAAGAGUUUCCUUAUUCUGAUUAUUCGACUGUGUGCCAAACUGCAAAUAAUCUUCCGUUGGUCGAUUGACUUAAGUGUUCGUCAGGCCCAAACUUUGAUAGUUCUUAGCUUAUGACGCGGAAAACACAAGGUAUUUCUGCAAAUUGUACUGAUGUUGUGUGGGAUGGUUGCGUAACGCGCCUGGAAUACUCGAUCGGUCGAGUCCAGUUAAUUGCACCGGGGCAAAAACUUUGUUAGCAUACAUCAGCACUCGAGUCCCUAGGCUCGAGCCUGGAUAACUGGCGGUGUUCGAGUCAAACCUGCCGAGGGUUUUACAGACUCGAAAUCCAGUGCUGCGGGGCGAUCAACCAACGCGUCCGUUGGUUGAUGUUCUUCAUGCAAGCGCGUGGAUGAUCUGGAAUCGCCUGAAGGUGCUGAUUUCCAGGCCCGAUGAAAAACCAUCGGGUCUUACCUUCACGUAAUGAACGUGGCUUAGGGUGUGUUUCGCAGUCCGUGCGACCCGGAUAAUGCUGUCGAGUGCCUAUGUACCAGGUACACUUCGAGUUCCUGCGCCGUCAGGUGGCAGCCCAAGUUUUCUAGAGUUUGAUAUGACGUCUUUGCUGACACUCUGAUUAAAGAAAUGGUCUGGGAAGUCGAUGGGACGUACCUAAUGCUUUAUGCACGGACUGGAUCGAGUACUGUUGAUGUGGUCAGUUUGAUUUGACCACACGAUGUGCGCGAGAAUUUAGGCGCAUUGAUAGCUGUCGUGGGUUCUUGAACCGGUGGAAGGGGAAACGGCUCAUUUCUACUGGGACCACGCGUCUCUUUUCUUUAUGGCACAGAAGGAGGUGAGAUUAGGUUCCCCUUUUUUUUUUGCAUUUCUUAAUUUUGUAUUCUGCAUAUUACAACGAAUAUUUUUUUAUUCUUGCUUAUCUUACUUUUCCAAUUGUGCUAAGUCAUGCGCGCGAUACAAAGUUCGUGGUAGAGAACUUCUUUGAGUCAUCCUAUUUUUCUGUUCAUAUGAGGGAAAUUCAUAUGUGAUUUUCCAAAUAAGGGAAUCCAAAUGAAACCCUUUUUUUGCUCAGUCUAUCUGGACUACUUUUGUAUAAUAGGAAUUAAUUCGAAAUAGGUAUUCCGUUUCAUCUAGGAACAGAACGUAAAAAUUUUCCUUUACUUGAAUAAAAUCUGGAGUUGUGUUGUAUAAGUCCGCAUGAAUUUCUUAUCAUUCAAUGAGCAUCUUGUAUUUCAUAGAAAUUGGGGGUUAUAUAGUCCUUACGUAAGGGCCAGCCUACCCAACUUUCAGGCAUUAGGAUACGUUUAAGGCGCGGAUGAUUAUCAUAAGAGAUUCCCACCAUAUCAUAAGAUUCGCGUUCUUGAAAAUCGGCACUUCUCCAAAUCCAGAAGACAGACGGAAUUCUAGGAUUAUCCUUUUGGGCAAAGACUUUUAUGCAUACUUCUUCCGGGUUAUCUAUGCCAUACUGUAUUCACGUAAGAUGAUACACGCUAGCUAAAGAUCCACCGGGUGCUACAUCAUAAGCACAUUGGGAGAGUAAAUAAUUGUAACCAUAUACGUAUAAAAUGACAGCAAUGGAAUCCCAAUCCCCCGCUUUUAUUUGUAAAGUCUCUAUUCCUCGGUGAUCAAAGCCCAAAGAUCUAUGAACCACCUUAUGUUUGACUAGCCAAUUAGAUAACCAACCCUGCUGCAUUGUCUUGAUCUCUCCCUCUUUGUUUUGUAUAAAUAUUUCACAUUUCGGAUGCAAGUUUCAAAGAUUGCCUUGCUUUUUAUUUUUCUAGACGAAAGAACCCCCCUCCUAAUUCACUAAUUUGUAGGAAGGUACUAUACUUUUGGAUUUGUAAAUUUUUUCAGAAGAUAUAUCUAAAGUAGAUGGUGAUUGAUAGAGCAAUUCUUGCUCGUAAGUUCCAGUAUGAGUACUGCGCCGAACAUAAAGCUUGUGACUGGUAGUAAAACAUCGGUUUUUAUUUUGAGAUCGAAUUCGAUCCUCAACUAUUUCUCGCGAUAUCUUCUUACGAAGUUUUGUUAGGGCAUCUAUAACCGCCUCCGGUUUAGGUGGGCAACCCGGCAAGUAGACAUCCACAAGAAUUAACUUAUCAACUCCUCGAAUAGUACUAUAGGAAUCCGUACUGAACAUUCCCCCUGUAAUAGUACAAGCUCCCAUAGCAAUGACGUAUUUUGGUUCAGGCAUUUGCUCGUAUAACCUCACUAAAGAAGGAGCCAUUUUCAUUGUUACUGUACCAGCUGUUAAAAUUAGGUCCGCUUGCCUAGGACUUGAUCUUGGUACCAAUCCAUAACGAUCAAAGUCGAAUCGCGAGCCUAUUAAUGAAGCAAAUUCAAUGAAACAACAACUGGUACCGUAUAGAAGGGGCCAUAAACUGGAGAGUCUUGACCAAUUUGAAAGAUCGUUUGGUGUAGUUGAAAUAACAGAAUUGGAACUUGUUUGGUCAAGUAAAGGAAACUCAAUCAAACUCAUAACUGUCUCAAUGGAAUCUUUUUCUUCUUUUUUUUUUUCUAAAUAUUCAGUUAAGACAUUCCAAGGCUCCUUUUCGCCAUGCAUAAACUAAACCAACAACUAGGAUAAGCACGAAAAUGAAAGCUUCGAUAAAAACGGAUACACCCAAUACGUCGAAACUCAUUGCCCAAGGGUAGAGAAAGACGGUUUCCACAUCAAAAACAACAAAAACUAGCGCAAACAUGUAAUAGCGUAUUCGGAAUUGUAGCCAAGCCCCUCCCAUGGGUUCUAUACCCGAUUCAUAACUAGAAAGCUUUUCGGGUCCUUCACUAAUCGGGGCUAAAAGCCCUGAAAUCCAAAAUGCCAAAAUCGGAAUAAGGGUUGCUAUUAUUAGAAAUGUCCAAAAAAUAUCAUAUUCGUGAAGCAGAAACAUAAUGUACUCCCAUUAAUGUAGAAUAGACGAGACUUAAAUUAAUCAAUUCAAUUAUGCAUUGUCAAUUCAUCCAGAACUUAUCUCUUUUCCUCGGUGAAACAAGAAUCUGUUUUGUUCAAACAAAAUCGCUUAGUUUAGCCUUUGUUUUCUCUGUGCUGUGUCUUCUUUAAAGAUUCAUCCAAUGGAAUCCCAACUCCCCUUCUUUUUUCUCCAUUCUAUUUAGAUAUGGUCUAGAUCUAAUUCUUAUAUAAAAAAUACUUUAUCCCUUCACUUUAUUUUGCUUUCUCUAUAAUCUUUAGAACCUAAUUAACAUAAGAGGACUAGUCUAUGCAGUAGACUGAGAAGUAAUACUAUAAAAAAAUAAGGAACUCUAUUUCAGAACUAUGAGACAUAAUAUUCUGUUUUCUUAUUUACUCUUUACUUUAAUUCUUUCUAAAAAAAUUCUAUUUAGGAUUUUAAGUAGAUCGAUUUAGAUAAUGUAUAUAUAAGCAAAGUAAUAUACCUAAAACAAAGUAUAAAUUCGCAAGAUGGAGAAAAUCAUUGCAGUUUUAUAGGGAAGUCUAGAGAUACCCUAUUUGAAGAAGGGCGGGAUUCAAAUCAGGGAAGGGCUCUUUUCUUCUAUUGAUUUGAUAGAAAUCACUUUUUCGUUUCCUAUCUCUAUGAUUUUUGAUGAAUGAGCCUGUGGUAAUUCUUUUACGCCUAUUCUAUGUCGCAGGCGCCCGCCCAGUCUAUAAACAAGUACUAAUGUGAAAAUAAAAGCUAUACUAAGGAAAACAUAGGAUAUCUAUACUAAAAUCCAAAAAUAGGACAUAUUAGGGCUAUACGGAUUCGAACCGUAGACCUUCUCGGUAAAACAGAUCAAACAGAUUAUUAUCGAAAUGAUUCGAACUGUUUCAAAGACCCAAGAUGCAUUUUUUUUGCAUUGGGCUCUUUCAUCAACUGAUUUAAAGAUCAGUUAGUCCACCAUAGUUUUCUUUACGGAAAGAUAAUGAGAUGGCUCCCUGUGCUCUGAUUGAUUAUUUGUAUUAUGGUCUAUCUAGGAGCAAUACCAAAGUGUUUCAAAGGAGGAUUACCUUGACUUAGGUCUGCCUCCGGCCUAAAUUAAAUCAACCUAAGUGAAAUGGAGUCUCUAUCGUUCCACUGCAAGAGUUAACUAUGAGACUUCAUACACCUUAAAGUUCAUAGAACGAAAAGAAGUUUUUUGGAGGCCCUUAUCCUCAUUACGCCUAGCAUUUAGUGGGCUGGAUAUUUACCUUAUCAACUAGCAAAUCCAUAAGGGUUCUAUUUGAUUAGGCACCAGAAUGGGGACCUGAAUCGGACUGAACUGACUCUUUGUCAGGCUACUGUUCUCCUAUUCUGUCGAAUCUAUGAAGUAAGACAUUGAUUUUGCAAUAAGAUCCAUUAUAUUCAUUGCAUAAUAAGCUCCUUUGAAAAGCAUUGGCGCACGUGUAAACGAGUUGCUCUACCGAACUGAGCUAUAGCCCUUAUCAGAGAUAUCUUAACAUAUAGAUAAUUUAUUGUCAAGAUGAAUAUUCUCUAAUGCCAGAGGGUAUCUCUUUAAAUAUGUAUCUGUUUAGUAUAUAACAUACCAAUAAGGAAGCGUUAUUGCUUAGAAAAGGGAUUCGAUAUAUAAUCGAUCGAAGUAAUGGGUCUUCCUUUGUGAUCAUAAAUUGACUACUUAACUCAGUGGUUAGAGUAUUGCUUUCAUACGGCGGGAGUCAUUGGUUCAAAUCCAAUAGUAGGUAGGUAGGUAGAAAAAUUACUAGAUAGCAUUGGGCUUAUUUUGCUUCGCUAUCUAAUAACUUUUUCUACCCCUCUUCCCUUUAUCUUUGUAUCAACUAUAAACCAUUGGAUUGUCUUCAAUUGGACGGGGGAAUCCAAUUGACAGCCUUGAUUCGUAUCCUAGCUCGUCUGAGAGCUAGUUUCGCUUCAACCAAUUCUUUCGUACCCUCAGCUUUACUCAAGUUAUUUUCGGCUAUUUUAAGUGCCUGUUGAGCUUCUUCCGAAUCAAUAUCACUACCCAGUUCCGCAUCAUUUCCUAAAAUAAUGAUCUCAUUAUUAACUAUUCUCGCAAAACCACUCCACAGAACCGCCGUUAACCAUUGGUCGUUGAGGAGGCGUAUUCUCAAAGGACCCAUAUCUACUGCUGUGUUAAUGGGGGCAUGGUUUGGUAAUACCCCAAUUUGACCACUAUUAGUGGAUAAAAUGAUUUCUUUCACUUCACAAUCCCAAAUAAUUCGCUUAGGAGUCAGUACAUAAAGAUUUAAUUUCAUUUCUUCGAUUUGUUCUCCUCUUCUAAGGUUAUAGCUUUCGUGCUAGCUUCAUCGAUGUUACCCACCAAAUAAAAAGCCUGCUCGGGUAGGCCAUCUAAUUCUCCGGAAAGGAUUAGUUGAAAUCCCCUAAUUGUUUCUGCAAGACCAACAUACCUUCCUGCAGAACCAGUAAAAACUUCUGCUACAAAGAACGGUUGUGAUAAGAAACACUCAAUUUUUCGCGCUCUUGCUACAGUUAAACGAUCCUCCUCCGAUAAUUCAUCCAAUCCAAGAAUUGCGAUGAUGUCCUGAAGUUCCUUGUAACGUUGUAAAGUUUCCUUAACUCUUUGCGCAGUUUCAUAAUGUUCGUUGCCAACGAUCCGAGGCUGUAACAUAGUUGAGGUUGAAUCUAAAGGAUCUACUGCUGGAUAAAUACCCUUGGAAGCUAAUCCUCUGGAAAGUACGGUAGUAGCAUCCAAAUGGGCAAAUGUUGUGGCAGGAGCAGGGUCAGUCAAAUCGUCCGCAGGUACAUAAACCGCUUGGAUCGAAGUUAUAGAUCGCUUUUUAGUAGAAGCAAUUCUUUCUUGCAAAGAACCCAUUUCUGUACUAAGAGUAGGUUGAUAACCCACCGCGGAGGGCAUUCUCCCUAAUAAAGCGGAUACCUCCGAUCCUGCUUGAACAAAACGAAAGAUAUUAUCGAUGAAUAAAAGCACGUCUUGCUUAUUAACAUCUCGGAAAUAUUCCGCCAUAGUUAGGGCAGUUAAACCAACUCUCAUACGAGCUCCCGGUGGUUCAUUCAUUUGGCCAUAGACUAGAGCUACCUUUGAUUCCUCAAUAUUUUCAUUAAUUACUCCGGAUUCCCUCAUUUCCAUAUAAAGAUCAUUUCCUUCACGAGUCCGUUCCCCUACUCCACCAAAUACGGAUACACCCCCAUGAGCUUUAGCAAUGUUGUUGAUUAAUUCCAUGAUGAGUACUGUUUUACCUACUCCAGCCCCCCCAAAUAGUCCUAUUUUUCCUCCACGUCGAUAAGGAGCUAAAAGAUCAACGACCUUAAUACCUGUUUCAAAGAUGGAUAAUUUCGUAUCUAACUCGAUAAAGGCAGGCGCAGAUCUAUGAAUAGGGAACGUUGCACUACUGUCUACAGGACCCAAAUUGUCAACAGGCUCUCCAAGAACGUUGAAAAUUCGCCCGAGAGUAGCUCCGCUGACCGGAACACUGAGAGGAGCUCCUGUGUCAAUCACUUCCAUUCCUCUCAUCAACCCAUCUAUAGCACUCAUAGCUACAGCUCUAACUCGAUUAUUUCCUAAUAAUUGUUGUACCUCACAAGUCACAUUAAUUUGCUUAUCGGCAGUGUCUCUACUCUGGACUACCAAAGCAUUAUAAAUAUAAGGUAACUUACCGGGGGGAAAAGUGACGUCCAGCACGGGUCCAAUAAUUUGAUCGAUAUGGCCUGUACUUUUUUCUUCAAUUGGGGAAACCCCGGGACGAGAAGUAGUAGGAUUGGUUCUCAUAAUUAUCACAUAAUAAAAAAAAGGAAUUUGUCGAAAUUUUUCUUUUUUUCUUGUUGAAUAAUACCAAAUCCAAAAAAAUAUCCAAAAAUCCAAAAGUAAAAAGGAAAUCAAUUAGUUAAUUCAAUAAGAGAAAAAAGGGGAACAUGACUUGAUUUCGUUGCCCAAGCGAAUCCCUUUCAACCCUUUACUCAUGGAAUGAGGCCGUUGGAAAGUUCAAUCAAUCUUUUUUUCAUAAGAUAGAUUUUUCCUUUUGUGGAGGAUCUGUGCCUACUCUACUUUCCUAUCUAGGACUUCGCUAUACAAAAUAUAUACUACUGUGAAGCAUAGAUUGCUGUCAACAGAAAAUUUUCUUAGUAUUUAGUUAGGUAUUUCUUUUCAAAAUAAGAAAGGGGCCCUUUAAUAAUUUGUAAAAAACAAAGGUUAAGGAUUGAUUUGGGUUGCGCUCUAUCUAUCAAAGAGUAUACAAUAAUGAUGGAUUUGUUAAAUCAAAUCCUUGGUUUAAUAACGAACGGUGUUAACUUACCAUAACAACAACUCAAUUCCUAUAGUGAAAUUCCUAUAGGAUAGAACAUACACAGGGUGUACGCAUUAUAUAUGAAUGAAAAAUAUUAAUGAACUUAAGCAUGCCCUCAAUUUUCUGUAAUGAGUUGCUAUUAAUUGAAUAUCUCUUUUUUUUAUGAGAUUUUUGCUAAAGUUUCAUUUACGCCUAAUUCACAUCGAGUAGACCUUGUUAUUGUGAGAAUUCUUAAUUCAAGAGUUGUAAGGAGGGACUUAUGUCACCACAAACAGAAACUAAAGCAAGUGUUGGAUUUAAAGCUGGUGUUAAAGAUUAUAGAUUGACUUACUACACCCCGGAGUAUGAAACCAAGGAUACUGAUAUCUUGGCAGCAUUCCGAGUAUCUCCUCAACCUGGGGUUCCGCCCGAAGAAGCAGGGGCUGCGGUAGCUGCCGAAUCUUCUACUGGUACAUGGACAACUGUUUGGACUGAUGGACUUACUAGUCUUGAUCGUUACAAAGGACGAUGCUAUCACAUCGAGCCUGUUCCUGGGGAAGACAGUCAAUGGAUCUGUUAUGUAGCUUAUCCAUUAGAUCUAUUUGAAGAGGGUUCCGUUACUAACAUGUUUACUACCAUUGUAGGUAACGUAUUUGGUCUCAAAGCCCUACGUGCUCUACGUCUGGAGGAUCUAUGAAUUCCCCCUACUUAUUCAAAAACUUUCCAAGGCCCGCCUCACGGUAUCCAAGUGGAAAGAGAUGAGUUGAACAAGUAUGGUCGUCCUUUAUUGGGAUGUACUAUUAAGCCAAAAUUGGGAUUAUCUGCAAAAAAUUACAGUAGAGCAU
rnacentral:lncRNA from 1 species